rnacentral:rRNA from 1 species
GGGGAAUAUUGGACAAUGGGGGCAACCCUGAUCCAGCAAUGCCGCGUGUGUGAAGAAGGCCUUCGGGUUGUAAAGCACUUUCAGUUGGGAGGAAGGGGAUGAUGUUAAUAGUAUCAUUCAUUGACGUUACCGACAGAAGAAGCACCGGCUAACUCUGUGCCAGCAGCCGCGGUAAUACAGAGGGUGCUAGCGUUAAUCGGAAUUACUGGGCGUAAAGCGUGUGUAGGUGGUUAGAUAAGUUAGAUGUGAAAACCCUGGGCUUAACCUGGGAACUGCGUUUAAGACUGUUUAGCUAGAGUACUGUAGAGGGCAGUGGAGUUUCCAGUGUAGCGGUGAAAUGCGUAGAUAUUGGAAGGAACACCAGUGGCGAAGGCGACUGUCUGGAUAGAUACUGACACUGAGACACGAAAGCGUGGGGAGCAAAC